GAGAGUUAAAUAGUACGUGAAAUUGUUGAAAGGGAAACGAUUGAAGUCAGUCAUGCUAGUGAAAAAUCAGUUUGGCGGGUUUUGAGUUCGGGAGUAGAGGCAGGGUCAAACCGUUUCUCUUUUGGACUUGGGAUUUGUCGGACGUACUUUUUCUUUGGCAGGUCAGCGUCGGUUUCGGAGGUUGUAAAAUACUUGGGGGAAAGUAGCUCUGCUUCGGGAGAGUGUUAUAGACCCUGGGGGAUGCAGCCUGUGGGAUCGAGGAUUGCAGCAAAUGCCUUUGGCUUGUCGCCUGAUCUCUGGAUGUUACCUCUCUUGUGACAACAUUCUUGCCACCGGGGAGUACUGAUGCCCAUUAGGUUAGAACGAUCAAAAAUUUGCUAAGGAUGCUGACGUAAUGGCUUUAAACGA
rnacentral:rRNA from 1 species